rnacentral:lncRNA from 1 species
AAAUAUUGUUCAGCCUUCAGGGUUCAACAUCUGCACUCGUAUCAAGAUAUGACGUCUGGCUCAUUUCAAUUUUUGUUGUGUGAAUUUCCAUGAUUAUGAGUAAUAUGUUAACUAUUUGGUAUAUUGGUUCCUUGCAAUUUCUACAUGCCUAUCAACCUCUGCGGUCGUAUAAAGCUGCGCCCUGCGGAGCAUCUGGUUGUAGUUUCCAGACAUUUACUUGUGUUUAAGAAUAUCUAUCUAAACUUGUACUACAUGUACAAAGAG